GACGAACGCUGGCGGCGUGCCUAAUACAUGCAAGUUGAGCGAUGAAGAUUGGUGCUUGCACCAAUUUGAAGAGCAGCGAACGGGUGGGUAACGCGUGGGGAAUCUGCCUUUGAGCGGGGGACAACAUUUGGAAACGAAUGCUAAUACCGCAUAACAACUUUAAACAUAAGUUUUAAGUUUGAAAGAUGCAAUUGCAUCACUCAAAGAUGAUCCCGCGUUGUAUUAGCUAGUUGGUGAGGUAAAGGCUCACCAAGGCGAUGAUACAUAGCCGACCUGAGAGGGUGAUCGGCCACAUUGGGACUGAGACACGGCCCAAACUCCUACGGGAGGCAGCAGUAGGGAAUCUUCGGCAAAGGACGAAAGUCUGACCGAGCAACGCCGCGUGAGUGAAGAAGGUUUUCGGAUCGUAAAACUCUGUUGGUAGAGAAGAACGUUGGUGAGAGUGGAAAGCUCAUCAAGGGACGGUAACUACCCAGAAAGGGACGGCUAACUACGU
rnacentral:rRNA from 1 species